CGAGUUACAACAACCAAACCUUGAUCAACGACGACAAAUAAAAGAGAUCGAUAUUUCUUGUUCAUUUAAGGGUAAAUUAUCAAAUUUUCAAAAAAUAGGUAAUUUAGAUUACCUAGCUGGGAGGGUUUCCCCCGUGUUGAUUUAUGCAUCAACGUGUUGAGUCCCGUGUUGAUUUAUUUAAAGCCGCUUUUAAGGAGAGAAACAAACUUUCCUUCUCCACUGGUACCAAUUAGAUCCUCGAACCCUGGUGGAAUCCUCCACACCAGCCCCAUGAAGACUGAUUACCACUUUUACUGGGCCCGAAUUGGU
rnacentral:lncRNA from 1 species